GAUGAAGAACGUAGCGAAAUGCGAUACUUGGUGUGAAUUGCAGAAUCCCGUGAACCAUCGAGUCUUUGAACGCAAGUUGCGCCCGAAGCCAUUAGGCCGAGGGCACGCCUGCCUGGGCGUCACACGUCGUUGCCCCCCCAUCUACUCCUUCGGGAUUGCGGGGGGCGGAUGAUGGCCUCCCGUGCGCCUCGCCGCGCGGUUGGCAUAAAUGCCAAGUCCUCGGCGACGCACGCCACGACAAUCGGUGGUUGCGAAACCUCGGUUGCCCGUCGUGUGCGGUCGUCGCGCAUCGAGGGCUCGAAAAAAUUGCGGGGUUCCGGCUCGGCUUUCAACGCGACCCCAGGUCAGGCGGGGUUACCCGCUGAAUUUAAGCAUAUCAAUAAGCGGAGGA
rnacentral:misc_RNA from 1 species